UGGGUGAAGAUGGUGCACCGGGUUAAAAAGGUGCACGACCCCCUGGAACGGAGAAUUUGACUUCCUGACCUGAUCUAACAGCGAGAGUACACAGUG